rnacentral:lncRNA from 1 species
GAGAGAAUACCCUUUGUGGGAGUUGGAAAUGUCCAAAACACAAAAAGUGCUUUGGAGUUGAGUCCGCGAGAGCAAAUAAGCAAAAUUUGGACUCAGCAGAUUUUUGCUCUCGGGGACUGGUCCCUGGAGGGAAGGACCGGUCCCCCUAGCUCAUGGUCGCGGGGGAGGUCAAUGCGACCGGUCCCUGGCUGAGGGGACCGGUCGUCGUGCGCGACACCCGCGAGAGGAAGCCUAAAUUUGGCUAAGUCCUGAAGGUUCCCCGUUCGGGAACCGGUCUCUCAGGAGAGACCGGUCUCCCAGGGACCGGUCCCUCAGGUGAGGACCGGUUCCCGAACGCGAAAAGUCCCCAGACUGCAGGGAGAGCUCUCGGGGACCGGUCUCCCCGACUAGGGAACGGUCCCUUUGGGCGAAAACAG